AAGUCGUAACAAGGUUUCCGUAGGUCAAGUUUAGCCUGCCACAGCGGGUCAACCUCGCUAGUCUCCGCUGGAGGCGACACGCUCAACCUGUGGGAAGGCCCGUCCCGGGAAAUCCACAGCCCACUUCCCUCGCCCGGAAGUCGGUUUAGAGGCUCAAUGAGCGUGGGUGCUGAUCUCAGCGCCUGAGAUAGAGUCCGUCCCAGCUGGUAACCGCUGGGGGCGAACGGAACCUGCGGAAGGAUCAUUACAGAAUUGACGGCUUUGCGAAGUCAGAUUCUCACCCCGUGUAUACACUAUCUCUGUUGCUUUGGCGGGCGCGCGCUGCCGGGAACCCUGGAAGCAUUCUCUCGUGCUGAGCGAUAAUAAGUCAAA
rnacentral:misc_RNA from 1 species